UACGAAGGGGGCUAGCGUUGUUCGGAAUUACUGGGCGUAAAGCGCGCGCAGGCGGUCCUUCAAGUCAGAGGUGAAAGCCCAGAGCUCAACUCUGGAAUGGCCUUUGAGACUAGAGGACUUGGGUACGGGAGAGGUGAGUGGAAUUCCGAGUGUAGAGGUGAAGUUCGUAGAUAUUCGGAAGAACACCAGUGGCGAAGGCGGCUCACUGGCCCGUUAC
rnacentral:rRNA from 1 species